rnacentral:hammerhead_ribozyme from 1 species
AGUCGAAACCGCCCAUCGCGGGCGGUCUGGCGGGGAUGACCUACCGCCACUGAUGAUGACAGGUCACG